rnacentral:tRNA from 1 species
AAUCCAGUUGGCCAGGCUAAGCAUGUAGAACUCUUCGUAGAGGACUUUCGGACGUGGGUUCGACUCCCACCGGCUCCACCA